rnacentral:rRNA from 1 species
AACGGAGGAAAAGAAACCAACAGGGAUUGCCUCAGUAGCGGCGAGUGAAGCGGCAAGAGCUCAGAUUUGAAAUCUCACCUAGUGUGCGAGUUGUAAAUUGCAGGUUGGAGUCUCGGGUUAGACGUGUGUGCAAGUCCCUUGGAACAGGGUGCCACUGAGGGUGAGAGCCCCGUAGCGUGCAUGUCGACACCUGUGAGGCCCUUCUGACGAGUCGAGUUGUUUGGGAAUGCAGCUCUAAGUGGGUGGUAAAUUCCAUCUAAGGCUAAAUAUUGGCGAGAGACCGAUAGCGAACAAGUACUGUGAAGGAAAGAUGAAAAGCACUUUGAAAAGAGAGUGAAACAGCACGUGAAAUUGUUGAAAGGGAAGGGUAUUGGGCUCGACAUGGGAUUUACGCAUCGUUGCCUCUCGUGGGCGGCGCUCUGGGUUUUUCCUGGGCCAGCAUCGGUUUUCGUUGCAGGAUAAGGACAAUUGGAAUGUGGCUCCUCGGAGUGUUAUAGCCUUUUGUAGAUGCUGCGUAUGGGGACCGAGGGCUGCGGCGGACUCGUCGUCUCGAUGCGCACU